ensembl:lncRNA
GUAGUCGCACAUACACCAGAAAUGAACCCAACCCAGUUCUUAGUUUUCAUCUUAAUCAUUUAUUCAAGUGAAGUGCAUAUGAUGCAAAUGACAAGUGUCACAAGCCUGUGUGUCAUUCCUCCAAAUCAGCCAAGUAUUCAGUUUCUAGGUAAUCAGAGGACGAGGAGGUGCUGAUGGAGCUGAGGUCAUCGCAGCAGUCCUCUGCGUCGGAGAAGGAGGAGGUGUAGUGGAGGCCGGAGAGCCGGUGGUACUCCAGGGGGGGCACCUCCGCGACCGCUGGCCUGGCGCUCCGACCCCUCUUCCAUGUGAACCCCCUACACAUGUCCACGAGCUGAGUGCAGAUGGCACAACCCAUCGUGUCUAUCACACACACAGAGACAGACAGACAGACAGACUGACAUACACACUCACACACACUGAGCUUUUUUUAAAUGCUGUCUUACUCACACAUUAGAUACACUCUCACACACACUCUUCCCUGUCCCUUCAAAACCACAAAACAGCUUCUGGUCUGUUUUCUGAUAGCAGUAAAUAAGCUCUAACAGACAUCUGGAAUCUCUGGUGCUUCACGACUGUGACACCCCCACUGAUUCACCUUAGACACUAAGCUGUGAGCACCCAGAUUAUCUGACACACACACACACACACACACACACACAGACAGACAUUACACAUACACUGGUGAAAGUCUGAGACUGUGUGACUGGGGAAAGGUGACAGUAUGGCUGUGUUUGUCUGACUGGUGUGUUGUCCAGGGCACUCCUGUUGUCAAGGCGUUUAGCCCCGAGGUUUCACAGCUGGUUGACUGGAUGAAGGAGCUGUGAAGCAGAGAGAGAGAGAGAGAGUGUGAGCGGGAAGAUGAAGCGCGGAGACGUCAGUCAGUCAGGUAGGCUGGCAGUCAGUCAGUCAGUCAGUCAGUCACACAGGCAGACCCGCUUCGUGUGCGUCUGCCUCGUCUGCCUCGCUCGGGUGCGGCGCCUGGGGCUGCCAGAGAAGGUUGGCGGGAGUGCAGAGUUCACGGGUUCAGCGGCGCAGCUCCCGGUGCUGAUUCAGACCGCAGACGGGCGCGAGGUAAAUAUUUACAGGAGCUCAUCACCACCAGCUGCGCUGACACGAAAACAUGGAUCCUCCUCUUUCCCUGUGGAUCAAAUAUCUCUCGUUCUCUCUGCUCUCUGCUCACUCUCUCUCGGUAACCUUCCUCUGGUAAAGCUAGGAGUGCUCAGAUGUUGGAAACACGCACCGUCACUCUGUAUCCAUUGCAUCCACACCCUCACUGUUACAGUAGUAGUAAGGCGGGAAUGAUGAGAGUGAAUCAUCCGACGGAAAGCUUAACUGUAGGUGCCCCUGGACUCUCUCCCUCUCCGUGCGUUGGACGCCCAGGUGCAGUCCAGACGUGUUGGUGGAGCCUCCAGCAGGAAUGACAGUGGAGGGAGUGCCUCUUAGGUGACAUCCAGAGGUUUUUCUUAGGCCCUGUUCCUGUCUGGGAUUAAAAGGAAUGUGAGAGAUGUGAGGCUUUGUAGAGAAACCCUGUAGAGAAAGGCUGAGUUCAGUGUCUGGGCACCCACGCAGGACCUUGAGAGACUACUGUCUGACUACUUUCACUGGAAUUCUGAAUAAGUUGCUUCAUAAUUUAAAUGAGAUAUGGUAAGAAUGUGUUGAUUCAUUCACAAACACUCAUCAUAGAGUUAUUUUAAUGAACAACAUUAGCUUGGCCAUAACUCCCCCCCUCUCCCUUCACAAAGUAACUGGCAGACGGGGAUGCCCGUUACUUUGGAAUAUGAUUGCUUUAAACGACAGGAUGAUGGCCAUUUUUUAAUAGAGCCAACACAGUCCUGGAGAGGAAAAAGAAAGGAAAGAUUUAUGGAUGUUGCUAUGGAAAUGUGUUCUAAAAAGUAUAAUAACCAGCAGCUUUCACAAUGUUUUGGCCCAUCAGUGGUACAUUUAGAUAGUUUUUUUUAAACACGCUAAUUCACCAUAUUGCAUUUAUUAUCACAUCACAUUCUCAACUCAUUUAUCAGAGAGGUCAGUUAAACAUUCUGCCCUGUUGUCUUUUCUUGAGAUCACUGGACUGGCCAAACAUAGCUCCUGCGCACAUGUAAUCUGUUGUUGGAACAUCCAUAUCCCUCUGCACCCAUGUACUUCAGCUGGUUUAUUUCGGUGAGGAAAUGUCAGAGUCGGUGAAGCAUCAGUAAUGACACUCAUGAAAGAUUCAUUGUGGUGAAGCCGAUUGGACACAAGCCAGCUGGGCUAUGGGGGGGGUGGGGGGGGUGGGUGGAGACACCCACGCCUGUGGACAUAAUCGACGGACUCACCUUGCUCCCACAUUCACAUGACUCUUGUAACCUACAUGCCACGGUAUUGUCCCGAGCCCUUGUUUUACAAAUGAGCCUCAUUUGCAUUUGAAGCCAGUGCUGGAGAGGAUGCUGCUGGUAAGGCGUGCCCCACCCAGCCAAAAUAGCCUCCAGUUACACCCUGCCAUGUCAGCCCUUUGAAAAAAGCCUUAAUUUGAACACUAAAGAUAAUCUUAAUUCUAUAACCUUUGUACAGAGAUAAGAUUAAGAUAUAACUACACCUGGUAGGCUUGUCUUCUAAUACUUUACAUUCUGAUUGGUGAUAAGCUUUCAUUCUUUAUCUCCAUUUGUACCCAGUCUUUGGUAAAUACAAAAAUAUAAUGAAUCCCUUCAGGGGACAAAAUGGGUUCAUGCAAAGUGUGGCUGCAGGUCUGGACCAAACGUGCAGCAGCCUGCUAGCAGCAUCCAUGCUAAUGUUUUGAUUGGGUGCAGAGAGCCAGCUGGAUCACUCACAGGGAGCCAGAUGCCUCAGACGAAAAAGACAACAUUUAUUUUUUUAAAGAAAAAGAAAGUCUGAAGAAUAUUUUCAAACUUGCUGUACAGAAUCAGGAUGGGUCCUACCUUUUUACAUGUCUUCCCCUGCAACCUCCUAAGCGCCUCCUUCCAGUCUCAUCUCCCCCUCUUCUCUCUCCAGCUCUCUAUGCGUAGCCUGCUACUGGAGGAGAGGGGAGUCAAAAUGACAUCACACCCACGUCUAGAUUUCUUUUUUUUUCCGCUCACACACACACUUUUGCCAUCCUCCAAGGAUACUGCUGGGGACAGGGGUGGGGUGUGUGUGUAGCAGAGGAAGUGGUGACGGGGGUGGGGCAGCAUGAGAUGGAUGAAUACGGUCAGUAGAGGCACAGCUGGAUUUCCCAGCAUGCAACACAGGUCAUUGGCCUUGCUGCGCGUAAUCAAUGUGUAGCCGCUGGUCUUUUAAAGUGACACAUUGUAUCUGUUACAGCAGCCUGAAAUCAAUCACAGGACCCAGAUACUAAGUCAUCACAGAUGAUCUCUGUUUAUUGCUCUUUUGAGAAUUACUUUGAGUUUAUUUUAUUUUUCUAUUAAUCUAGUUCAUUAUUGGAAGCAGAAUUCUAAUAGUCUUUUAUUUGUUUUCUCCAUAUUGGAAGAGAACUGUUGUUUUUGGGGAAAACAAAUUAUGUUGUUGAAAUGAUAUCACCAGCUGGGCAGUGCUGUGAAACCCAUUAGGCGGGAGAGACAGAUGAUUGGCAGGCCCUGCAGAAUCAUAGAUGAAAGGGAAUGUUGUACAUGGGGUCCUUCCAACAGCACUACAAAAAAUGGGGUGAAGGCACGAACCCAGAUAAUCUGAUUUCAACCGUGACAUUCCCCACUUUCAUACACGUAUGGCUGUGGCUGGAACCAGAGUACGCCAGGGGGAUUGGCUUAGUGCUGUUCCAGAGCAAACAAGUUGUAUUAAAAAGACAAAAGAGCACAAGUCUAACUGUGCUGAAAAGGGAAAGAUGGACCACCACAGACCAAAGAGAGAGAGAGAGAGAAAGUGAGAGAGAAAGAGAAAGUGAGAGAGAAAAAGAGAGAGAGAAAGUGAGAGAGAAGGUGAGAGAGAGAGAAAGUGAGAGAGAAAGAGAAAGUGAGAGAGAAAAAGAGAGAGAGAAAGUGAGAGAGAGAGAAAGUGUGAGAGAAAAAGUGUGAGAGAUAUAUAUAAAAGAACAGGCUUUAUUCACUCUCAAUUUCAAUACAGACAAUAACAGACAAUCAAAAAAGCUUAGUCAACCUUGACUGCAAUAUGCCAGCCUUAAACUGUGAUCACCUGGAUUUUAACCAAUGACAUUGUUAUACAAUAUUUAUUAGUUCACUAGGUUGAGUCUUGACAUUAUUUGAAAUGUAAUGGCUGUGUCAUGUCGUCCAUGUUCACAGAUAGGUACACUCAAAAAGUUGAACAAAGAUCGAUCUAAUUAUGCUCUUUAAUAACGGUAGAAUUUAGUGCCACGCUCUUUUUCAGUUAUACAUACUAGCUAUCGACCAACAUUGCACGUGCCCAGUAUAAUGUGAUUGAAACAAAGAAAAAAUAAACAGAAAAAGACACCAGAUAUUCUCCAUUCCAGUUUGGAAAUCGAUACCAGAUGUUGCACUUUUUCUUUGGUGAACUCAACCAGAUACCAGCCAACAAUUGGCUACGAUCUUCAACGUCAGAUCAGAACUAGCAGGAGUGAGGCUUCGAGUUUCUAGUUCGGUUGAGUCUGUUGGGGGUUCGUCGGCUUGGUGAGGCGUGUCCAUUGUUGGAGGAGAAACAAUCAAACGAGUAUACACUGAGUCACCCUUACACCAGUCUCAACCUGCCCAAAGACCCCACUGCUGAUGAUGACAUGCUGAUCAAUCUUGAAUGUUCCGGUUUGUGAUGAAACCCUCAAUGAGUGAGAGACUUUAAUGCGUGCAACUGGUCUUACACAACUUCCUGUUAAGGGCACAUUUUGAAUCAUCUUGGCUUUUUUUUCUGAAUACAAUUUUGAAAAGCACCAGGGGUAUCCCCCCCGAGCCACUUCCGUCCCAACCCUUCCGCCAUUUUUACCCGUACUCUGACACAACCCACUGCAGGGGCCAGGACAGUAUCUCAACAUGGCUUUGCCAUUAUACAGGCACCAUUUAAGGGCUCCAGGACUUGUGCAUUGCCAGGCAAAAUAAAUACACGAGAUGAAAGACCCCCCCCCCCCCCCCCUUUUAGUUUGGGUUCAGGUCAGCUGGCAGACAUACUGUCUGCAUGGGGGAGGGGGGGCAGAUUAAUGUACAGAGCAGCACAGUCAUCAGGCAGCAGCUGUAUAGCUUAUAUCACCGACCCCCCGUGAGCACCAUGACUCAUGGCACUCCAGGGCCCAACAAGACUCUUCAAACGCAGGAGAAAACUCUGUGUGUGUGUGUGUGUGUGUGUGUGCAUGCAUAUGUCUGUACAUUUAGGUGUCUUAGUGGAGAACGUCCUCGUUUUGAGCUCAUUUUAUAUGAGCCUGAGUUUGCGUCCAUGUAUAAAUUCUCUCCUGUCUCUCUCUCUCCCUCUUUUCUUCUCGCUCUCUCUAGAGUGUGGUGUCAAGUGCUCCUUAUUAUCUUACAUGUAUUCAUCUAUUGAACACCACACCACACCACACCGGCGUCUAAUCUAGGGAGUAAUUUAGCGAGCACAAUUGCAGCUCCUCUCGCGCAGGUGAGAAGCCCCUGGGGGAUGGGUGCUCCAGCGAUGCUGUGGAGUGAAGGCUUCAGUGAGGGAGGGGUUGGGUGGAGGUGGAGGUGGAGGUGGAGGUGUGGCACAUGCCUCG